rnacentral:rRNA from 1 species
ACGAACGCUGGCGGCGUGCCUAACACAUGCAAGUCAACUUGACUGAAGGAGCAAUCUGACAGUAGAGUGGCGCAAGGGUGCGUAACGCGUAAGUAACUUGCCCCAAGGUAAGGAAUAACGUCGAGAAAUCGGCGCUAAUACCUCAUAAUGCAGCGGAUCCGCAUGGAUAUGUUGUUAAAGGUUUACCGCCUUGGGAUAGGCUUGCGUCUGAUUAGCUAGUUGGUGUGGUAACGGCGCACCAAGGCUACGAUCAGUAACUGGUCUGAGAGGAUGAUCAGUCACACUGGAACUGAGACACGGUCCAGACUCCUACGGGAGGCAGCAGUGAGGAAUAUUGGGCAAUGCUCGAAAGAGUGACCCAGCAACGCCGCGUGGAGGAUGAAGGUAUUCUAUAUCGUAAACUCCUGUGAGAGCAGACGAAAGACAGAUUAUUAAUCUGGAUGACUGUAUGCUCAGAGGAAGCCCCGGCUAACUACGUG